rnacentral:rRNA from 1 species
UAUGUGAUCGUCUCUCGCAUAUCAAUAAGCGGAGGAAAAGAAACUAACAAGGAUUCCCCUAGUAACGGCGAGUGAAGCGGGAAGAGCUCAAAUUUGAAAUCUUAAAGGGUUUCCCUUUACGAAUUGUAGUUUAAAGAAGUGUUUUCUGUUGAGGUUUUGGUAAAAGUUCUUUGGAAUAGGACAUCAUAGAGGGUGAGAAUCCCGUAUUUGGCCUUUACUUUCAACUUUGUGAUACACUUUCAAAGAGUCGGAUUGUUUGGGAAUGCAGUCCAAAAUGGGUGGUAAAUUUCAUCUAAAGCUAAAUAUUGGCGAGAGACCGAUAGCGAACAAGUACCGUGAGGGAAAGAUGAAAAGAACUUUGAAAAGAGAGUUAAACAGUACGUGAAAUUGUCAAAAGGGAAGCGUUUGACACCAGUGUUGUUUUUCUGAAAAUCAAUUAAAGAACUGUUUAUGCUAAGCUGUUUAGACUUUAUCAGCUAUCUGUUUAGUUUUGAGCUUUUCUUUAAUGCACUUUUCAGUUAACAAGUCAACAUCAAUCUCUUUUGCUGUAAAAAAGCUUGAGGAAGGUGGCUUGAGACUCGUCUUAAGUGUUUAUAGCCUCUUGCCUAUGCAGUCGGAGAGAUUGAGGUCUGCAGCGUAGAUCCUUCGGGGCUAAAUGCAUUUGUGCUAAGUUAUAGCAUUUUAUAGACAACUUGUUGACUAUGAUUUGUCUUGUAGCUUACUCGCUUAUGUUAUUUUACCUACGCUUAGGAUGUUGAGCGCAUGUCUCUCUCU